rnacentral:lncRNA from 1 species
CUUGAGAGAGCGGAGGAGGCGCAGGCGCAGCACAGUUUAAACUUGAUUUUGUGAGGGGACGAACAGCGUGACAAUUAAAGAAGAUCUAGGAAUCCAGAGCAACUGGGAACCUAAUUCUGACCAACAAGGAGGAAUUGUUUGGCUAAUUGGAAGUGACAGAAACCUUGGGAGAAAGCAACCGCAUACCAAGGAUAAUUAUAAGAAGGUAACAUGGGCCCUAAAGGAUAGUGUCAAGAAACCUGAAACCCCCAAAUGAGGUGAGACUUGCAAAAAAUGCUAAGGAAGGACAAAAAACAGGCCUUUUAAAAUUCUGUUCAGAACCAGAAGAUGAUCAAGAAAGGGAAAUGCCCACUAGCAGCUUCUACUGUAAGGUUAGAGCUGACAGAGAAAGAACUCCUUAACUACUAUUUGCUUCAUUCUCUACAAAGGAAACUAGAGAAGUGGGUUGACAUAAUAGAAAGAACAUGUGUUUGUGGGGCCAGGCAAACCUGGGUAUAAUUCUGUUUCAACACUGCUUAACAAAAUUUAUGGGAGGCUAUUGUUUUGGAUUGGGCUCCUGCACCAGGCCCCUCCAGACCAAACCAAAAUGGAGUCACUCAUACUAAAACUCCAGGUCACUGAACCAAAACUAAGUUGUUUAUCUGACCUUCCAAGAAAUCAGGAGGGAGAAAACAACCAAAUCUCCAAACAGGCCAGUUUUAAUCAGUGUGAUAAGGAAGUCCUCUCUUUUUUAACCCUAUAAAGAAAGUAACUUUUUGAAAUGAUCAAUACACUUUUUAUUCCUUAGUUCUGCUUUCUUUAGCCCCUUUCUGCCUAUAAAGCCCACUUCCUCUGCUCAACUUACUGAAGCAGUAUUCCAUUUUAUAGAAUGAGAUGCUGCCCAAUUCUGGAAUCACUAAUAAAAGCUAAUUAGAUCUUUACAUUUGUUGAAAUUUUGUCUUUGACAACAUUACUAGUUAUAUUAUUCUGGGUAUCCUUUUCCCCAUCUGUAAAAUGGACAUAGCGAUAUCUUUC